rnacentral:rRNA from 1 species
ACGAACGCUGGCGGCGUGCCUAAUACAUGCAAGUAGAACGCUGAAGGCGGAGCUUGCUUCUCUGGAUGAGUUGCGAACGGGUGAGUAACGCGUAGGUAACCUGCCUGGUAGCGGGGGAUAACUAUUGGAAACGAUAGCUAAUACCGCAUAAUAGUAGAUGUUGCAUGACAUUUGCUUAAAAGGUGCAAUUGCAUCACUACCAGAUGGACCUGCGUUGUAUUAGCUAGUUGGUGAGGUAACGGCUCACCAAGGCAACGAUACAUAGCCGACCUGAGAGGGUGAUCGGCCACACUGGGACUGAGACACGGCCCAGACUCCUACGGGAGGCAGCAGUAGGGAAUCUUCGGCAAUGGACGGAAGUCUGACCGAGCAACGCCGCGUGAGUGAAGAAGGGUUUCGGAUCGUAAAGCUCUGUUGUAAGAGAAGAACGAGUGUGAGAGUGGAAAGUUCACACUGUGACGGUAUCUUACCAGAAAGGGACGGCUAACUACGUG